rnacentral:rRNA from 1 species
GGUAGUGUAGUUAACACCUGCAUUAUUUGACGUUACCUACAGAAGAAGACGACCGGACUAACUACCGUCGCCAGCAGCCGCGGUAAUACGGGAGGGUGCGAGCGUUAAGUACGGUAAUUACGUGGGACGUAAAGCGCAUGCAGGCGGCCUGUUAAGUCAGAUGUAGAAACGGCCCGGGGACCGUUAACCGUACGGUAAGUUGCUAUUUAGUAAACGUGGCGAGGCUAGAGUCUUGUAGAGGGGGUAGGAAUUUCAGGUGUAGCGGUGAAAUGCGUAGAGAUCUGAAGGAAUACCAGUGGCGAAGGCGGCCCCCUGGACAAAGACUGACGCUCAGAUGCGAAAGCGUGGGGAGCAAACAGGAUUAGAUACCCUGGUAG